CCUACGGGUGGCAGCAGUGAGGAAUAUUGGUCAAUGGACGCGAGUCUGAACCAGCCAAGUAGCGUUAAGGAUGACUGCCCUAUGGGUUGUAAACUUCUUUUAUAUGGGAAUAAACUGUUCCACGUGUGGGUUUUUGUAUGUACCACAUGAAUAAGGACCGGCUAACUCCGUGCCAGCAGCCGCGGUAAUACGGAGGGUCCGAGCGUUAUCCGGAUUUAUUGGGUUUAAAGGGAGCGCAGGUGGAGUGUUAAGUGAGUUGUGAAAGUUUGCGGCGCAACCGUAACAUUGCAGUUGGAACUGGCAGUCUUGAGUGCAGUAGAGGUGGGCGGAAUGCGUGGUGUAGCGGUGAAAUGCUUAGAUAUCACGAAGAACUCCGAUUGCGAAGGCAGUUCACUGUACUGCAACUGACACUGAGGCUCGAAAGUGCGGGUAUCAAACAGGAUUAGAUACCCGGGUAGUC
rnacentral:rRNA from 1 species